GACUCUUGGCAACGGAUAUCUCGACUCUCACAUCGAUGAAGCACGUAGUGAAAUGCGAUACUUAGUGUGAAUUGCAGAAUCCCGUGAACCAUCGAGUUUUUGAACGCAAGUUGCGCCCGAAGCCAUUAGGCCGAGGGUCG
rnacentral:rRNA from 1 species